CCUUUGACGUUAGCGGCGGACGGGUGAGUAACACGUGGGUAACCUACCUAUAAGACUGGGAUAACUUCGGGAAACCGGAGCUAAUACCGGAUAAUAUUUCGAACCGCAUGGUUCGAUAGUGAAAGGUGGUUUUGCUAUCACUUAUAGAUGGACCCGCGCCGUAUUAGCUAGUUGGUAAGGUAACGGCUUACCAAGGCGACGAUACGUAGCCGACCUGAGAGGGUGAUCGGCCACACUGGAACUGAGACACGGUCCAGACUCCUACGGGAGGCAGCCAGUC
rnacentral:rRNA from 1 species